CAGUAGCCGCGGGAAUACGUAGGUUGCAAGCGUUGUCCGGAAUUAUUGGGCGUAAAGGGCUCGCAGGCGGUUUCUUAAGUCUGAUGUGAAAGCCCCCGGCUCAACCGGGGAGGGUCAUUGGAAACUGGGAAACUUGAGUGCAGAAGAGGAGAGUGGAAUUCCACGUGUAGCGGUGAAAUGCGUAGAGAUGUGGAGGAACACCAGUGGCGAAGGCGACUCUCUGGUCUGUAACUGACGCUGAGGAGCGAAAGCGUGGGGAGCGAACAGGAUUAGAUACCCCCGUAGUCCCUGUCUCUUAUAC
rnacentral:rRNA from 1 species